CCCGGUGUGAAGAGGUAAAUGUGAGGUUUAUUUUCUCCUCUCAGGUCGGACUGCACCGCUGCAGCAUCCGGACCAGUCCAGCCCGGCGGGCGGCGCAUUGCUACCUGCCUGCUCUGGGAUCCGCGUCGGGUUUUUUUUUUUCGCCACACACAGAGUUUGAGAAGUGCUUGUAGACUUCCUGGUGCGGGACCAUGGAUAUUCUCCGCAGGAACGCGGUGGCUGGGGAUUUAGUGGCUGCGAUGUGAACCUGGAGGGGCCGUCGAGUUGAUGAGCAAGGUGAGCCCCGGGUCAUGAGUUCCUCUCAGAAAGACCCAGUGGAGAUUAACCUCACCUGUCCAAAGCCCCGCCCCAAUCAGGCCUUGUCCUGCCCCCCCACUCCUGGACUCCCACCAUGACAUCGACCUGGACCAGCAUGUCUCACAACCUCCCAGCUUCUCACUGCUUUCUGUUUUAAAGCCCGUCUCUCCAGCAUCGUGAAUCAACUGCUCGAUUCCUGCAUUGACAGCAUCUCUGUGCUCCGUUUGAAUGAAGAAGGCUGCCACAAGGCGAAGCUCUUAUCUGUAGAUUAAAAGCAGAGAUGUGUCAGAGACUUACAGCAUCUCUCCAUUUUCAAUCAACUGGAUGUUAAGGAAAACUUGAUGAAGGCUUAUUGAUCUGCUGAUUGUGAGAGGGCCUCUGAGUGGACCGCUCCAUCAGUAUUUCUCUGCUUCCCCAACGAACUGAGCUGCACUAAAAGCAGCUCGAUCCGUUUCUCUGCAGGUGGCCCCAGACUUGUUCAUUUUCCCCUCGUAGCUUUUAUUUAUCUCACCUUGUAGUUCUUAUUUUUCUCACAAUCCUUGAAAUGCAGACUGUCGGGCCAAUAAUGGUAUUUUUAAAAAAUGGCAUAUCGAUUCUAAGAAAAGUUCCCGCUGUAAGAGCUUGAAAGGUGAAGAUAAAAAGGAGUAGCAGAUCAGAAGUCAUUCAGUUCUUCAGACUGCAUCCUCAACAGAACCAUUGAAGAAUAAUGUGUGUUAAUUUCUGUGUUGAACCACGGUUUUGUUCUGUUUUCUAAAACUUGUCAUUGGAGUAUCUUAAGGUCUUGUUAUCCACAGUGACAGCUUCAGCCGAGUACGAUGUAGGGAACAUGUGUUCUUGAAACAAGAAGAAACAGAUGGUGUAAUUAUCAGAGCUGCUGCUCUAGUUGCUUGGUGGGUUGAACCUACUUAAUUGUUCAGGUGGCAGAAUGUUUCACACUCUUAAAGACAAACACAGAGGUCCAGAUCUUAGUUAAAAUCUUUACAAAGCUAAAGAGAAAAAUAAAUGGUAAACAGACUUUUUCAUAAUGAUGCUUUAAGUAAAAAAAAAAUUUCACGAGAAAAACAUUGUAAUGCGAGUUCACCUUUUGCCACAAAGUACCAAAGAUUAAGAUUACAGUUGAUAAUCCACUGAAGAAUAGUUCAGCUCUAAAAAAACCAAUAGUUUUCUGAAACAUUUACGUUGUGGAGAACUUUGGAGAAGAAAUUAUUAUGACCAGACUGAUAACAGCUGGUGAAAGUGGGGCUAACAUCAAAGUGUGUUCAAAGAUCUGAAUCCUCACUUUAAGACUUUGUUGCUUUUCAUCUACUGAAGAGCUUGCCAAUUAAAUGUUUCUUUAUUAGUUUAAAGGAGAAACAACAGCAGCAGAAAUCUCUAAACCCCAGCUUGGACAAGCAUGUCUUAGUGCAGGAGUGUCAAACUCAUUUUCAUCAAAUGAGCAUCAUAGUGGUCCAGUUGUAAUUAACUCAGUGUUGGUGUUUAACUUCUACUAAACAGGARUCAUCGCGUUCCUUUUCUCAUUACAGCGACCGAGCACCGUUAAACAAUAACUGAGCUCUACCUGGUAUUUUCUGCAUAGAAACUGUGUUUUAACAUGUCCUCAUAAACACUGAAAAGGUCUACGUCAGGGGUCACCAAUAGGCGGACCUGGGUCCGGAUCCGGACCGGAAUGACGUCUCAUGCGGACCCUUACCCAAUGUCAAARCAGAGAUCACCACUUAAAACUUGAAUGAGCACGUGUAAUGCUGCAUUCAGAUCUAACGAGAUUUGAGUGUCGGGGCAUCGGGUUUACAUACAAAUCUAUGGUGGGGCAUUGAGAAGUGUUGCUGUKUGUUUUGAAGCAUUUGAUGCAUGAAGCGCAUCCAAAGAGGCAGAAACUUGAGGUGGAAAAUCUGAAAUUUAGCAGUUAGAAAUGGAGUGUCAGCCACAUUUAGCCAUGUGUGACGUAGUGGCACAUUUUCAGACGGGAUAAUCUCCUGAAUGAUGCCCACUAAACUGAGACAGAUGGACAGGAGCUCUCCAGCUGAAAUCAAGCACCUGUAGUUGAUGUCCUGGCAGAAGAUAUGGGCAUCGAUGGGAGUCAGCAACCCAGUCAAACUGUGCUCAGGACAAAACAAUGCGCUGAAUGCAACACUCAGCACACAGCUCCUGGAGUGGUGAAACUCACCAAACUCAGAACUCCUCUGAAUUAUCUGGUGAAUCCAAGGUGCCCAACGACAACGUCCUCUGGCUGUCAGUAAAUAAAGCCAUGCCACUCUCUCAGUUUCAUCUGUCAUUGUACAGAGACCGGCAAAGAAGGCUCCUCUCAACGUGCACCUUGAUGUGUGAAUAGAGCGAUUUUGACGAGUAUCUGACCUCAAAGUGCACAAGCGUCCAACUCGAGUCAUUGGACACAUUUUUGACGCGCAAAACGUGUUCGGUCUGAACACAGCAUAAACCAGUUACAUGCACAGGUUUUGCAGUCUUUACAGUAGUGGUCAAGUGUUGGAGACAGAGGAAAGGAUGGAGAAGGUGGGGGGGACAGAAAUAGAGAAGGAAAUAUACAGGCGGGUGAGAAAGGAUGGAGAAAACUGUUAGUUGAGAUGGAGAAGGGGAGAAAAACUGGAGAGUUAACAAAAACAAAUACAAAA